UUCCGGUGAUGAUGCCCUGGAAAUUAGCCACCCGCCGGAAUCAGCAGGACACCUUCUACUGACGACGUUUGCCAAACUGGAGGCUGCCUCACAAGCAAACACAACUGCUCACGCUGUCACCCACAGACUGUCACCCACGAGUGUCACCCACAGACAGUGUCACCCAAAUCCACUCCCACAAAUCCUGACACAGCGCUCAUAGGAGCGCUCGGAAGGACGGGGACGUCGGGAGCAGGUGCAUGGGCAGCGCGGAGAGAGGAAAGGCAGCGGCUCCCGGGAGCGGCCCCGUGGGGCGUUACGGAGAAGCAGACCCACGCAUAGCCUGCCCCGGACGUGGCCACCCGGCGAUGGCCCAGAAGGAAAAGGAAAUACUGGGAGAAUGUUCUGGAAAGCCUCGCUGUGGAGAAGGGCGGGUUUUGACGUGGGGCUGGCUUUCCCAUGUACGGUUUGGCCUCACGGAUCUGUGCUCGCGCACAGGCCGUCCACCCGACGUGGGUAAGUCUGCGGCUGCCGGGUUCCACCUGGAAAGGGCGGGGAGACGGAGGCCCCGGCGUGCAGGACAGGCCCCCCAUGGUGGGAGCGGGGGUCCUGCCAGAGGAGGGCCUGGGCUGGAGACGGUCCCGCGUGGGGAGAAGCAGGCGAAGCGAACCGGCGCUGUGAUUCCGUGGACACUCGUCACGCACACAACACUCCACUGAGCUACACAUACGAGGGCAAAGAGUCGUUCGAAUAACACUUGACCGAACUCCACGUCCGUGAAGAAAUACAUUGUUAAAGGACACAGAGUCUGAACCCAAAAAAGCUUACAGUCAAAUAAAGUCCAGAAAACAGGAGUUCCAGAA